rnacentral:lncRNA from 1 species
CGGAUUUCUCAGCCUCAGCUUUGAGGUCCACCUUCAAGUCCUCCACUAUGCUCUUGCUCUCCAGAUCCCAGAUCUUGAUGCUAUGUUCUGUAGCUGCACAUAGCCAAUACCUGUUAGGACUGAAACACAGAGCAUGGAUGACUGCACCAGCAUCAAGAUUGUAAAGCCUCUUUCCCUCUGCCAAAUCCCAGAGCAAAAUCACUCCAUCUUUCCCACCACUUGCGCACAAAGACCCAUCAGGCGACACAGCAACAGUGUUAACAUAACCAUU